rnacentral:rRNA from 1 species
AGCGGCGGACGGGUGAGUAACGCGUGGGUAACCUGCCCUAUACACACGGAUAACAUACCGAAAGGUAUGCUAAUACGAGAUAAUAUAAGAGAUUCACAUGGAUUUCUUAUCAAAGCUGAGUCGGUAUAGGAUGGACCCGCGUCUGAUUAGCUAGUUGGUAAGGUAACGGCUUACCAAGGCGACGAUCAGUAGCCGACCUGAGAAGGUGAUCGGCCACAUUGGAACUGAGACACGGUCCAAACUCCUACGGGAGGCAGCAGUGGGGAAUAUUGCACAAUGGGCGAAAGCCUGAUGCAGCAACGCCGCGUGAGUGAUGAAGGCCUUCGGGUCGUAAAACUCUGUCCUCAAGGAAGAUAAUGACGGUACUUGAGGAGGAAGCCCCGGCUAACUACGUGCCAGCAGCCGCGGUAAUACGUAGGGGGCUAGCGUUAUCCGGAUUUACUGGGCGUAAAGGGUGCGUAGGUGGUCUCUUAAGUCAGGAGUGAAAGGCUACGGCUUAACCGUAGUAAGCUCUUGAAACUGGGAGACUUGAGUGCAGGAGAGGAAAGUGGAAUUCCUAGUGUAGCGGUGAAAUGCGUAGAUAUUAGGAGGAACACCAGUAGCGAAGGCGGCUUUCUGGACUGUAACUGACACUGAGGCGCGAAAGCGUGGGGAGCAAACAGGAUUAGAUACCCUGGUAGUCCACGCCGUAAACGAUGAGUACUAGGUGU